rnacentral:piRNA from 1 species
UAACUCAUUGAAACAGUUCUG